GACAGAGGGUGCAAACGUUGUUCGGAAUUACUGGGCGUAAAGGGCUCGUAGGUGGCCAACUAAGUCAGACGUGAAAUCCCUCGGCUUAACCGGGGAACUGCGUCUGAUACUGGAUGGCUUGAGUUUGGGAGAGGGACGCGGAAUUCCAGGUGUAGCGGUGAAAUGCGUAGAUAUCAGGAAGAACACCCGUGGCUAAGGCGGUUCUCUAGUACGGUACUGACGCUGAGACGCGAAAGCGUGGGGGAGCGAACAGG
rnacentral:rRNA from 1 species